UCUCUGGUAGUAUAUCGGAUAGUACACCCGCCUGUCACUCCUAAGCGGCGCGCGGGAGAGCGGGGUUCGACUCCCCGCCAGAGAG
rnacentral:tRNA from 1 species